rnacentral:rRNA from 1 species
CCUACGGGAGGCAGCAGUGGGGAAUAUUGCACAAUGGGGGGAACCCUGAUGCAGCGACGCCGCGUGGGUGAAGAAGUAUUUCGGUAUGUAAAGCCCUAUCAGCAGGGAAGAACAAUGACGGUACCUGACUAAGAAGCACCGGCUAAAUACGUGCCAGCAGCCGCGGUAAUACGUAGGGUGCAAGCGUUAUCCGGCUGUACUGGGUGUAAAGGGAGCGCAGGCGGCGCGUUAAGCCUGGUGUGAAAGCCCGGGGCCCAACCGCGGGACUGCAGUGGGAACGGGCGCGCUGGAGUGCGGGAGGGGUAGGCGGAAUGCGUAGUGUAGCGGUGAAAUGCGUAGAUAUUAGGAGGAACACCAGUGGCGAAGGCGGCCUACUGGACGGUGACUGACGCUGAGGCUCGAAAGCGUGGGGAGCAAACAGGAUUAGAUACCCGUGUAGUC